AGUGGCAGACGGGUGAGUAAUGUAUAGGAAUCUACCUAGUAGUACGGAAUAAUUGUUGGAAACGGCAACUAAUACCGUAUACGCCCUACGGGGGAAAAAUUUAUUGCUAUUAGAUGAGCCUAUAUUAGAUUAGUUAGUUGGUGAGGUAAAGGCUUACCAAGACAAUGACCUAUAGCUGAUCUGAGAGGAUGAUCAGCCACACUGGAACUGAGAUACGGUCCAGACUCCUACGGGAGGCAGCAGUGGGGAAUAUUGGACAAUGGGCGAAAGCCUGAUCCAGCCAUGCCGCAUGAGUGAAGAAGGCCUUCGGGUUGUAAAGCUCUUUUAGUGAGGAAGAUAAUGACGGUACUCACAGAANAAGUCCUGGCUAACUCCGUGCCAGCAGCCGCGGUAAUACNGAGAGGGCUAGCGUUAUUCGGAAUCAUUGGGCGUAAAGGGCGCGUA
rnacentral:rRNA from 2 species